AAUGAAGUACAUUGUUACUUUUUGUUUCUGUGUUAUGUUUUUGUGGUACUGUUUAAAAGUAUACAAAAGCUUGAUUGUGUACAAGUUAAAAUCCAGAGAAAACAUGGCAUAUCGGUAAUUCCCUCUGGAACCUUGAGGCCUCUCCUAGUAUAGCCAAAACUGGCUUGUAUAACAUGUAGAGCAGCUUCGACGGUGAGGUUUACAUCACGCGAAUUACCAAUUUGAGGAUUUACUUCUACGAGAUCUACUGCAUUCAAUCUGCGAGUCCUAUACAAUUCUUCCAUUAGAUGGACAGCUUCCCUGAGGGUCAAUCCUCCACGCACUAAAAUUAUAAAAUCACCAUUAAAUGUCCUUAGAUAUUAAUAAAAGAGAGAAUUUCAUUUACCAA